rnacentral:rRNA from 1 species
AGCGAACGCUGGCGGCAGGCCUAACACAUGCAAGUCGAACGAUCCUUUCGGGGUUAGUGGCGGAUGGGUGAGUAACACGUGGGAACGUGGCUUUAGGUUGGGAAUAACCCAGGGGAAUUUGUGCUAAUAUCGAAAGUGUAGCUCGGGGGACAGAUUUAUCUCAUUUAGAACGGGCGGCGUCUGAUUAGCUAGUUGGUUGAGGUAAUGGCGCAGUAAGGAGACGAUAAGUAGGUGGGCGGAGAGAAUGAUCACCCACUUGUGGACUGAGACGCAGCCCAAACUAUUACGCGAGGCAGGAGAGGCGAAUCUUGCGCAACGGGCGAAAUCCUGACGCACCCAUGCCUCGUGAAUGAUGAAGGUCUUAGGAUUGUAAAAUACUUUCACCGGGUACGAUAAUGACGGUACCCGGAGAAGAAGCCCCGGCUAACUUCGUG